AGCGAACGCUGGCGGCAGGCCUAACACAUGCAAGUCGAACGAACUCUUCGUAGUUAGUGGCGGUCGGGGGAGGAACACGGGGGAACGUGCCCGUUGGUUCGGAAUAACUCAGGGAAACUUGUGCUAAUGCCGAAUGGGCCCUUCGGGGGAAAGAGUUAUCGCUAUUAGAGCGGCCCGCGUCAGCUUCGCUGGUUGGGGAGGUAACGGCUCACCAAGGCGACGAUCCGUGGCUGGUCUGAGAGGAUGACCAGCCACACUUGCACUGCGGCCCGGCCCCGACGCCGACGGAAGGCAGCAGUGGGGAGUCCUGCGCAAUGGGCGAAAGCCUGACGACGCCAUGCCGCGUGAAUGAUGAAGGUCUUAGGAUUGUAAAUUUGUUUCUCCGGGGACGAUAAUGACGGUACCCGGAGAAGAAGCCCCGGCUAACUACGUG
rnacentral:rRNA from 1 species